CAGGCCUAACACAUGCAAGUCGAACGGUAACAGGAAGCAGCUUGCUGCUUUGCUGACGAGUGGCGGACGGGUGAGUAAUGUCUGGGAAACUGCCUGAUGGAGGGGGGAUAACUACUGGAAACGGUAGCUAAUACCGCAUAAUGUCGCAAGACCAAAGAGGGGGGACCUUCGGGCCUCUUGCCAUCGGAUGUGCCCAGAUGGGAUUAGCUAGUAGGUGGGGUAACGGCUCACCUAGGCGACGAUCCCUAGCUGGUCUGAGAGGAUGACCAGCCACACUGGAACUGAGACACGGUCCAGACUCCUACGGGAGGCAGCAGUGGGGAAUAUUGCACAAUGGGCGCAAGCCUGAUGCAGCCAUGCCGCGUGUAUGAAGAAGGCCUUCGGGUUGUAAAGUACUUUCAGCGGGGAGGAAGGCGAUAAGGUUAAUAACCUUGUCGAUUGACGUUACCCGCAGAAGAAGCACCGGCUAACUCCGUGCCAGCAGCCGCGGUAAUACGGAGGGUGCAAGCGUUAAUCGGAAUUACUGGGCGUAAAGCGCACGCAGGCGGUCUGUCAAGUCGGAUGUGAAAUCCCCGGGCUCAACCUGGGAACUGCAUUCGAAACUGGCAGGCUAGAGUCUUGUAGAGGGGGGUAGAAUUCCAGGUGUAGCGGUGAA
rnacentral:rRNA from 1 species